UGCAAGUCGAGCGGAGAGAGGUAGCUUGCUACUGAUCUUAGCGGCGGACGGGUGAGUAAUGCUUAGGAAUCUGCCUAUUAGUGGGGGACAACAUUUCGAAAGGAAUGCUAAUACCGCAUACGUCCUACGGGAGAAAGCAGGGGAUCUUCGGACCUUGCGCUAAUAGAUGAGCCUAAGUCGGAUUAGCUAGUUGGUGGGGUAAAGGCCUACCAAGGCGACGAUCUGUAGCGGGUCUGAGAGGAUGAUCCGCCACACUGGGACUGAGACACGGCCCAGACUCCUACGGGAGGCAGCAGUGGGGAAUAUUGGACAAUGGGCGCAAGCCUGAUCCAGCCAUGCCGCGUGUGUGAAGAAGGCCUUAUGGUUGUAAAGCACUUUAAGCGAGGAGGAGGCUACUUUAGUUAAUACCUAGAGAUAGUGGACGUUACUCGCAGAAUAAGCACCGGCUAACUCUGUGCCAGCAGCCGCGGUAAUACAGAGGGUGCAAGCGUUAAUCGGAUUUACUGGGCGUAAAGCGCGCGUAGGCCGCUAAUUAAGUCAAAUGUGAAAUCCCCGAGCUUAACUUGGGAAUUGCAUUCGAUACUGGUUAGCUGGAGUGUGGGAGAGGAUGGUAGAAUUCCAGGUGUAGCGGUGAAAUGCGUAGAGAUCUGGAGGAAUACCGAUGGCGAAGGCNGCCAUCUGGCCUAACACUGACGCUUAGGUGCGAAAGCAUGGGGAGCAAACAGGAUUAGAUACCCUGGUAGUCCAUGCCGUAAACGAUGUCUACUAGCCUUUGGGGCCUUUGAGGCUUUAGUGGCGCAGCUUACGCGAUAGUAGACCGCCGGGGAGUACGGUCGCAAGACUAAAACUCAAAUGAAUUGACGGGGGCCCGCACAAGCGGUGGAGCAGGUGGUUUAAUUCGAUGCAACGCGAAGAACCUUACCUGGCCUUGACUAGUAGAACUUUCCGAGAUGGAUGGUGCCUUCGGGAACUUACAUACGGUUCUGCAGGGCUUCGUCAGCUCGUGUCGUGGGAUGUUGGGUUAGUCCCGCACGAGGGCACCCUUUUCCUAUUGCCGCCAGUAAGUCGGGACUUUAGGAUCUGCCGUGACAACUGGAGAAGGCGGGACAACUCAGUC
rnacentral:rRNA from 1 species